rnacentral:tRNA from 1 species
GCCUUCGUGGUGUAAUGGACAGCACACUGAGCCGGUAAUUCAGAGGUCCGUGGUUCGAUCCCCGGCGAAGGCA